UACGGAGGAUCCGAGCGUUAUCCGGAUUUAUUGGGUUUAAAGGGUGCGUAGGUGGGCCUAUAAGUCAGUGGUGAAAGUUUUCAGCUCAACUGAAAAAUUGCCGUUGAAACUGUAGGUCUUGAGUGCAAAUGAGGUAGGCGGAAUGUGUUGUGUAGCGGUGAAAUGCAUAGAUAUAACACAGAACUCCAAUUGCGAAGGCAGCUUACUGGGAUGCAACUGACACUGAGGCACGAAAGCGUGGGUAUCAAACAGG
rnacentral:ncRNA from 2 species